rnacentral:rRNA from 1 species
GAUGAACGCUGGCGGCGUGCCUAAUACAUGCAAGUCGAGCGAACAGACGCGGCUCUUGCUCCUCGGACGUUUGCGGCAGGCGGGAGUAUCACGCGAGGAUACCCUCCCUAUCAGACUGAGAUAACUUCGGGAAACCGGCUCUUAUAGGGGAUACUCUGUUCAUCGCAUGGGGGCAGGUGGAAAGGGCGGUUUUGGUGGGGCUUGUGCUCGCGUCCUAUCAGCUUGUUGGUGAGGUAAUGGUAUAGCAAGGCAACGACGCGUAGCCGACCCGAGCGGGUGAGCGGCCACACUGGAACUGAGACACGGUCCAGACUCCUACGGGAGGCAGCAGUAGGGAAUCUGCCGCAAUGGGCGAAAGCCUGACGGAGCAACGCCGCGUGAGUGAUGAAGGUCUUCGGAUCUUAAAACUCUGUUAUUAGGGAAGAACAAAUGUGGAAGUAACUAUGCACGUCUUGACGGUACCUAAUCAGAAAGCCACGGCUAACUACGUG